rnacentral:rRNA from 1 species
UACGGAGGGGGCUAGCGUUGUUCGGAAUUACUGGGCGUAAAGCGCAUGUAGGCGGCUUCGCAAGUCAGAGGUGAAAGCCCGGGGCUCAACCCCGGAACUGCCUUUGAGACUGCGUCGCUCGAACCCGGGAGAGGCGGGUGGAAUUUCCGGUGUAGAGGUGAAAUUCGUAGAGAUUCGGAAGAACACCAAUGGCGAAGGCGGCCCGCUGGGCCGGCAUUGACGCUGAGGGGCGAAAGCGUGGGGAGCAAACAGG